UGAGACUGCGGUGGAUGAAAUCGGAAGAACUUUCAGUAUCCUUCUACUGAAAGUUCUUCCGAUUUCAUCCACCGCAGUCUCA
rnacentral:pre_miRNA from 1 species